GCGCUUCAUAGGUGUGCUGAUUCUUCUCAAAGGUCUCCAUAAAGUUUUUAUUCACAAGAAUGGUGUUAGUGGCAUCCAAUGGGACAAUAGUUAUUGGAAUGUCCGAAUGAAUAACCUGAUAUGCAGCAAAAGGAUCCAUGAAUAUGUUAAACUCUGCAUAUGGAUUGCUUGUGAAAUCUGUAAAUAAAUUGCCACGGUCACCACAUUGUUGAGGUUGGCAAGAGGGACUGGCAUUGUCUGGACAGCAACCUUGAGGGUUCUUUGACCUUAUGCCACCCCCCAUGAUGUAAAUGUGCUCAACAUUUUUCUUUAAAUGUGGAUUACUUAGAAGAAACAAAGCAAAAUUAGUAAGUGAUCCAAUAAGAAAAACUACUGUGGGGCCAGCUGAAAUUGUUUCAAUCAUUACUUUU
rnacentral:misc_RNA from 1 species